rnacentral:rRNA from 4 species
AGACCCGAAACCCGGUGAUCUAGCCAUGGGCAGGUUGAAGGUUGGGUAACACUAACUGGAGGACCGAACCGACUAAUGUUGAAAAAUUAGCGGAUGACCUGUGGCUGGGGGUGAAAGGCCAAUCAAACCGGGAGAUAGCUGGUUCUCCCCGAAAGCUAUUUAGGUAGCGCCUCGUGAAUUCAUCUCCGGGGGUAGAGCACUGUUUCGGCUAGGGGGCCAUCCCGGCUUACCAACCCGAUGCAAACUGCGAAUACCGGAGAAUGUUAUCACGGGAGACACACGGCGGGUGCUAACGUCCGUCGUGAAGAGGGAAACAACCCAGACCGCCAGCUAAGGUCCCAAAGUCAUGGUUAAGUGGGAAACGAUGUGGGAAGGCCCAGACAGCCAGGAUGUUGGCUUAGAAGCAGCCAUCAUUUAAAGAAAGCGUAAUAGCUCACUGGUCGAGUCGGCCUGCGCGGAAGAUGUAACGGGGCUAAACCAUGCACCGAAGCUGCGGCAGCGAACGUAUCACCCAAGACAACUUUACGGAGUUGACGAUUGACGGAGCGAAGCGACGUCAAAGCGUUCAUUAAAG